rnacentral:rRNA from 1 species
UACAGAGGUCCCAAGCGUUGUUCGGAUUCACUGGGCGUAAAGGGUGCGUAGGCGGCCGGGUAAGUCUGAUGUGAAAUCCCGCAGCUCAACUGCGGAACUGCAUCGGAUACUCUCCGGCUAGAGGAAUGGAGGGGAGACUGGAAUUCCUGGUGUAGCGGUGAAAUGCGCAGAUAUCAGGAGGAACACCGGUGGCGAAGGCGGGUCUCUGGGCCGAUACUGACGCUGAGGAGCGAAAGCGUGGGGAGCGAACAGG